rnacentral:rRNA from 1 species
CGUACACUCCUGCGGGAGGCAGCAGUGGGGAAUAUUGCACAAUGGGCGCAAGCCUGAUGCAGCCAUGCCGCGUGUAUGAAGAAGGCCUUCGGGUUGUAAAGUACUUUCAGCGGGGAGGAAGGCAAUACGGUUAAUAACCGUGUUGAUUGACGUUACCAGCAGAAGAAGCACCGGCUAACUCCGUGCCAGCAGCCGCGGUAAUACGGAGGGUGCAAGCGUUAAUCGGAAUUACUGGGCGUAAAGCGCACGCAGGCGGUCUGUCAAGUCGGAUGUGAAAUCCCCGGGCUCAACCUGGGAACUGCAUUCGAAACUGGCAGGCUUGAGUCUUGUAGAGGGGGGUAGAAUUCCAGGUGUAGCGGUGAAAUGCGUAAAGAUCUGGAGGAAUACCGGUGGCGAAGGCGGCCCCCUGGACAAAGACUGACGCUCAGGUGCGAAAGCGUGGGGAGCAAACAGGAUUAGAUACCCGAGUAGUCC